UACGAAGGGGGCUAGCGUUGCUCGGAAUCACUGGGCGUAAAGGGCGCGUAGGCGGAUCUUUUAAGUCGGGGGUGAAAUCCUGGAGCUCAACUCCAGAACUGCCUUUGAUACUGGGGAUCUCGUAGUCCGGAAGAGGUGAGUGGAACUCGAGUGUAGAGGUGAAAUUCGUAGAUAUUCGGAAGAACACCAGUGGCGAAGGCGGCUCACUGGUCCGGUACUGACGCUGAGGUGCGAAAGCGUGGGGAGCAAACAGG
rnacentral:rRNA from 1 species